rnacentral:rRNA from 1 species
UACGUAGGGGGCAAGCGUUGUCCGGAAUCAUUGGCGUAAAGCGCGCGUAGGCGGCCCGGUAAGUCCGCUGUGAAAGUCCAGGGCUCAACCCUGGAAAGCCGGUGGAUACUGCCGGGCUAGAGUCCGGAAGAGGCGAGUGGAAUUCCUGGUGUAGGCGGUGGAAUGCGCAGAUAUCAGGAGGAACACCAAUAGCGAAGGCAGCUCGCUGGGACGGUACUGACGCUGAGGUGCGAAAGCGUGGGGAGCAAACAGG